rnacentral:rRNA from 1 species
GACGAACCGUGCGAACGUUGUUCGGAAUCACUGGGCUUAAAGGGCGCGUAGGCGGCUUGCCAAGUCAGGGGUGAAAUCCUGCAGCUUAACUGUAGAAGGGCCUUUGAUACUGGCGAGCUCGAGGGAGGUAGGGGUAUGUGGAACUUCCGGUGGAGCGGUGAAAUGCGUUGAUAUCGGAAGGAACGCCGGUGGCGAAAGCGACGUACUGGACCUCUUCUGACGCUGAGGUGCGAAAGCUAGGGGAGCAAACGGG